GAUUAAGUUAUUAAGGGCGCACGGUGGAUGCCUUGGCACUAGAAGCCGAUGAAGGACGUUACUAACGACGAUAUGCUUUGGGGAGCUGUAAGUAAGCUUUGAUCCAGAGAUUUCCGAAUGGGGAAACCCAGCAUGAGUUAUGUCAUGUUAUCGAUAUGUGAAUACAUAGCAUAUCAGAAGGCACACCCGGAGAACUGAAACAUCUUAGUACCCGGAGGAAGAGAAAGAAAAUUCGAUUCCCUUAGUAGCGGCGAGCGAAACGGGAAGAGCCCAAACCAACAAGCUUGCUUGUUGGGGUUGUAGGACACUCUAUACGGAGUUACAAAGGACGACAUUAGACGAAUCAUCUGGAAAGAUGAAUCAAAGAAGGUAAUAAUCCUGUAGUCGAAAAUGUUGUCUCUCUUGAGUGGAUCCUGAGUACGACGGAGCACGUGAAAUUCCGUCGGAAUCUGGGAGGACCAUCUCCUAAGGCUAAAUACUCUCUAGUGACCGAUAGUGAACCAGUACCGUGAGGGAAAGGUGAAAAGCACCCCGGAAGGGGAGUGAAAUAGAACCUGAAACCGUGUGCUUACAAGUAGUCAGAGCCCGUUAAUGGGUGAUGGCGUGCCUUUUGUAGAAUGAACCGGCGAGUUACGAUUUGAUGCAAGGUUAAGCAGUAAAUGUGGAGCCGUAGCGAAAGCGAGUCUGAAUAGGGCGUUUAGUAUUUGGUCGUAGACCCGAAACCAGGUGAUCUACCCUUGGUCAGGUUGAAGUUCAGGUAACACUGAAUGGAGGACCGAACCGACUUACGUUGAAAAGUGAGCGGAUGAACUGAGGGUAGCGGAGAAAUUCCAAUCGAACCUGGAGAUAGCUGGUUCUCUCCGAAAUAGCUUUAGGGCUAGCCUCAAGUGAUGAUUAUUGGAGGUAGAGCACUGUUUGGACGAGGGGCCCCUCUCGGGUUACCGAAUUCAGACAAACUCCGAAUGCCAAUUAAUUUAACUUGGGAGUCAGAACAUGGGUGAUAAGGUCCGUGUUCGAAAGGGAAACAGCCCAGACCACCAGCUAAGGUCCCAAAAUAUAUGUUAAGUGGAAAAGGAUGUGGCGUUGCCCAGACAACUAGGAUGUUGGCUUAGAAGCAGCCAUCAUUUAAAGAGUGCGUAAUAGCUCACUAGUCGAGUGACACUGCGCCGAAAAUGUACCGGGGCUAAACAUAUUACCGAAGCUGUGGAUUGUCCUUUGGACAAUGGUAGGAGAGCGUUCUAAGGGCGUUGAAGCAUGAUCGUAAGGACAUGUGGAGCGCUUAGAAGUGAGAAUGCCGGUGUGAGUAGCGAAAGACGGGUGAGAAUCCCGUCCACCGAUUGACUAAGGUUUCCAGAGGAAGGCUCGUCCGCUCUGGGUUAGUCGGGUCCUAAGCUGAGGCCGACAGGCGUAGGCGAUGGAUAACAGGUUGAUAUUCCUGUACCACCUAUAAUCGUUUUAAUCGAUGGGGGGACGCAGUAGGAUAGGCGAAGCGUGCGAUUGGAUUGCACGUCUAAGCAGUAAGGCUGAGUAUUAGGCAAAUCCGGUACUCGUUAAGGCUGAGCUGUGAUGGGGAGAAGACAUUGUGUCUUCGAGUCGUUGAUUUCACACUGCCGAGAAAAGCCUCUAGAUAGAAAAUAGGUGCCCGUACCGCAAACCGACACAGGUAGUCAAGAUGAGAAUUCUAAGGUGAGCGAGCGAACUCUCGUUAAGGAACUCGGCAAAAUGACCCCGUAACUUCGGGAGAAGGGGUGCUCUUUAGGGUUAACGCCCAGAAGAGCCGCAGUGAAUAGGCCCAAGCGACUGUUUAUCAAAAACACAGGUCUCUGCUAAACCGUAAGGUGAUGUAUAGGGGCUGACGCCUGCCCGGUGCUGGAAGGUUAAGAGGAGUGGUUAGCUUCUGCGAAGCUACGAAUCGAAGCCCCAGUAAACGGCGGCCGUAACUAUAACGGUCCUAAGGUAGCGAAAUUCCUUGUCGGGUAAGUUCCGACCCGCACGAAAGGCGUAACGAUUUGGGCACUGUCUCAACGAGAGACUCGGUGAAAUCAUAGUACCUGUGAAGAUGCAGGUUACCCGCGACAGGACGGAAAGACCCCGUGGAGCUUUACUGUAGCCUGAUAUUGAAAUUCGGCACAGCUUGUACAGGAUAGGUAGGAGCCUUUGAAACGUGAGCGCUAGCUUACGUGGAGGCGCUGGUGGGAUACUACCCUAGCUGUGUUGGCUUUCUAACCCGCACCACUUAUCGUGGUGGGAGACAGUGUCAGGCGGGCAGUUUGACUGGGGCGGUCGCCUCCUAAAAGGUAACGGAGGCGCUCAAAGGUUCCCUCAGAAUGGUUGGAAAUCAUUCAUAGAGUGUAAAGGCAUAAGGGAGCUUGACUGCGAGACCUACAAGUCGAGCAGGGUCGAAAGACGGACUUAGUGAUCCGGUGGUUCCGCAUGGAAGGGCCAUCGCUCAACGGAUAAAAGCUACCCCGGGGAUAACAGGCUUAUCUCCCCCAAGAGUUCACAUCGACGGGGAGGUUUGGCACCUCGAUGUCGGCUCAUCGCAUCCUGGGGCUGUAGUCGGUCCCAAGGGUUGGGCUGUUCGCCCAUUAAAGCGGUACGCGAGCUGGGUUCAGAACGUCGUGAGACAGUUCGGUCCCUAUCCGUCGUGGGCGUAGGAAAUUUGAGAGGAGCUGUCCUUAGUACGAGAGGACCGGGAUGGACAUACCUCUGGUGUACCAGUUGUCGUGCCAACGGCAUAGCUGGGUAGCUAUGUGUGGACGGGAUAAGUGCUGAAAGCAUCUAAGCAUGAAGCCCCCCUCAAGAUGAGAUUUCCCAUUUCUUCGGAAAGUAAGAUCCCUGAAAGAUGAUCAGGUAGAUAGGUUUGGAGUGGAAGUGUAGCGAUACAUGGAGCGGACAAAUACUAAUCGAUCGAGGACUUAACCAA
rnacentral:rRNA from 1 species